rnacentral:rRNA from 1 species
UACAGAGGUGGCAAGCGUUGUUCGGAUUUAUUGGGCGUAAAGGGUUCGUAGGCGGACCGGAAAGUCUGAUGUGAAAUCCCACAGCUCAACUGUGGAACUGCAUUGGAAACUUCCGGACUAGAGUGUGAGAGGGGUAAAGGGAAUUCCCGGUGUAAGGGUGAAAUCUGCAGAGAUCGGGAGGAACACCAGUCGCGAAGGCGCUUUACUGGCUCACUACUGACGCUCAGGAACGAAAGCUAGGGUAGCAAACGGGAUUAGAAACCCUUGUAGU